rnacentral:rRNA from 1 species
GAUGAACGCUGGCGGCGUGCUUAACACAUGCAAGUCGAACGAUGAAGCCCAGCUUGCUGGGUGGAUUAGUGGCGAACGGGUGAGUAACACGUGAGUAACCUGCCCUUAACUCUGGGAUAAGUCUGGGAAACUGGGCCUAAUACCGGAUAGGAGCGUCCACCGCAUGGUGGGUGUUGGAAAGAUUUAUCGGUUUUGGCUGGCCUCGCGGCCUAUCAGCUUGUUGGUGAGGUAAUGGCUCACCAAGGCGACGACGGGUAGCCGGCCUGAGAGGGUGACCGGCCACACUGCGACUGAGAGACGGACCAGACUCCAACGGGAGGCAGCAGUGGAGAAUAUUGCACAGUGGGCGCGAGCCUGUGGCGGCGACGCCGCGUGAGGGAUGACGGCCUUCGGGUUGUAAACCUCUUUCAGUAGGGAAGAAGCGAAAGUGACGGUACCUGCAGAAGAAGCACCGGCUAACUACGUG